rnacentral:rRNA from 1 species
UACGUAGGUGGCAAGCGUUGUCCGGAAUUAUUGGGCGUAAAGCGCGCGCAGGCGGCUUCUUAAGUCCAUCUUAAAAGUGCGGGGCUUAACCCCGUGAUGGGAUGGAAACUGGGAGGCUGGAGUAUCGGAGAGGAAAGUGGAAUUCCUAGUGUAGCGGUGAAAUGCGUAGAGAUUAGGAAGAACACCGGUGGCGAAGGCGACUUUCUGGACGACAACUGACGCUGGGGCGCGAAAGCGUGGGGAGCAAACAGG